rnacentral:rRNA from 1 species
ACUCAAAUGAAUAGACGGGGGCCCGCACAAGUGGUGGAGCAUGUGGUUUAAUUCGAUGAUACGCGAGGAACCUUACCUGGGCUAGAAUGUGCGUGAAGGGUGCAGAAAUGUGCCUGUCCUUCGGGACACAAAACAAGGUGCUGCAUGGCCGUCGUCAGCUCGUGCCGUGAGGUGUUGGGUUAAGUCCCGCAACGAGCGCAACCCCUAUGUUUAGUUGCCAGCGAGUAAUGUCGGGGACUCUAGACAGACUGCCUCCGCAAGGAGUGAGGAAGGCGGGGACGACGUCAGGUCAUCAUGGCCCUUACGCCCAGGGCUACACACGUGCUACAAUGGCCGGUACAGCGGGUUGCGACACAGCGAUGUGAAGCCAAUCUCUCUAAAGCCGGUCUCAGUUCGGAUCGGAGUCUGCAACUCGACUCCGUGAAGCUGGAAUCACUAGUAAUCGCGUAUCAGCAAUGACGCGGUGAAUACGUUCCCGGGCCUUGUACACACCGCCCGU